UGGACAAGAUGAGUCUGGAGCAGUUGAAAGCUUUAAAAAAUCAAUCUGAUCUAGAGGCGAAUCUGCUAAAGACAACUUGAGCAGUAUCUUAACUGCUACUGUUCGUCUCGUGAUAUAUUCCAAUGCUCUUCAUGAUCUUUCACUCCGUCCCCAAGGGAAGAAAAUGCUGGUGUCGCUUACGGCUUUCCUGGGAUACUUGACGAUGCCGAUAAGUUUUUAGUCGGUGUUGGCACUGGAUACUUCAUCGAGGUUAAUUGGUACGGCUUCUCUUUAUGUUCCUGGGAUGCUUGACGAUGCCGAUAAGUUUUUAUUCGGUGUUGUCACUGGAUACUUCAUCGAAGUUAGUUGUUCUGCUACCUGAUCGGAUUUGGGUUCUUCUCUUUAAAGUCUAUUGAAGAACUCCCUGUGCAUCUCAUUUAAAUUUCCCACAUUAGUUUUUUCCUUUUUGUUUUUAUGUAUAGAAAUCUUUCAUUCUAAAUUUUUGUGGUAUCGAUGUGAUACCCACACUUUUAAUUUUUGGCU